rnacentral:rRNA from 1 species
GACGUAGGGUGCAAGCGUUGUCCGGAAUUAUUGGGCGUAAAGAGUUCGUAGGCGGUUAUUUAAGUCUGGUGUUAAAGACGGGAGCUCAACUCCCGCAUGGCAUUGGAAACUGGAUAGCUAGAGUACGGUAGAGGUCUCGGGAAUUCCAGGUGUAGCGGUGAAAUGCGUAGAUAUCUGGAGGAACACCGGUGGCGAAGGCGGGUCUCUGGGCCGAUACUGACGCUGAGGAGCGAAAGCGUGGGGAGCGAACAGG